UCGGAUACCAGUACUCGAGCGAGUAGAGUACUCGUAGCUAUCGAUAACACAGAGGAAGAGAACGGGAGUUAUCUAGAGAACCAGUGAACUGAACUAAGCGAGUGACGUGUAAAGCCCAAUGGCUGCAGCUGCUGUGGCGCUGAACCACCAUCUGCUCUGCGUCUCAAAUUCAAGAACAUCUUCAUGGUUGCUUCAGAAAACUAGCUUGUUGAGCACUCGAAAGAAGGCUUGUCUCUCUUUAACUUGUUGCUCCUCAUCUUCUUCUACUUCUCAGUCGGCUGAAUCCAAUGCUUGGACUGCUGAAUCCUGUGUCAAUUUGGGCCUCUCCCUCUUCUCCAAAGGACGGGUAUUUAUAUGCUCUUACUCUUUUUCCUUUUUUCUUUUACAGCUAUUACCAUGGUUUCGAAUUGUAUUGCUUAGCGGUAUUUCUAGUUUUGUUGAAUUUUGGUUAUUCUCGGUCCAAUUUAUUCCUAUUUCGGUGUAUCUUCGUUGUAGACAAUACCUCUUGCUUUCGGCUGAAAUGAUUGAGCCAAGAACUUGAAAUUUAUCUUCUCCCUUAAUUUUAUGGGCACAUUUCUCCGUAACAAUGAAUUUUUCAGGUUAAAGAUGCUUUAGUCCAGUUUGACACAGCUCUUAGUUUAGAUCCCACACCUAUCGAGGCCCAAGCUGCACUCUAUAACAAAGCCUGCUGCCAUGCCUACCGGUGGGAUUUUCUUUUUCCUUUUGCAUAAUUUGGCUUUUAAUUUUGUUUCAAUUCUGAUAAUUCACUGCAAUGGAAUUACUUAUUUAUUUUAAUCUGAUGUCAUUCACCAUAUUGAAUUGAUUAAUAUAAUAAACAAAGUAAGUGCCCACAUAAGUUCUGUCCUUUAUUUCUUUCAGAUAAAACAUUAGGCGACCAAAAGAUCUCUUUUUUUUUUUUAUCUUUCUUGAAGUUGCUAUUUUUUCUAUGUGAACCAUGGUUCGAUGUAAAUGUAUAUAUAAGCAUAAAGUAUUACUAAGUUGAGCUAAUUGGCCCUGUUUUUCAUUCUUAUCUUGAGGAAGAGGGGAAGGGAAGAAAGCUUCUGAUUGCCUGCGUACUGCUUUAAGAGAAUAUAAUCUAAAAUUUGGCACCAUUUUGAAUGAUCCAGACUUGGCUUCCUUCAGAGUUUUGCCUGAGUUCAAGGAAUUGCAAGAAGAGGCUAGGCUGGGAGGGGAAGAUAUAGGGUACGGUUUUCGUAGAGAUCUCAAACUUAUUAGUGAGGUCCAAGCACCAUUUCGUGGGGUUAGGAGGUUUUUCAAUGUGGCGUUCACAGCGGCUGCAGGAAUUUCAUUGUUCUUUACAAUUCCAAGGCUCAUUCGUGCAAUUAGAGGUAGCGAUGGUGCCCCAGACCUCUGGGAAACAGCUGGAAAUGCUGCCGUUAAUAUUGGUGGCAUCAUUGUUCUCGUGGCCCUAUUUUUGUGGGACAAUAAGAAAGAGGAAGAACAAAUUGCACAGAUAACCAGAGAUGAAACUCUAUCAAGGUUGCCUUUGCGCCUUUCCACUAAACGGGUUGUUGAGCUUGUACAGCUUCGGGACACUGUUAGGCCGGUAAUUUUAGCAGGGAAAAAGGAGACUGUUUCUCUGGCUAUGCAGAAGGCAGAGAGGUUUCGAACUGAGCUCCUUAGGCGAGGUGUUCUCUUAGUUCCUGUUUUCUGGGGUGAAAGUAGAGAACCAGAAGUGCAGAAGAAAGGAUUUGGUGUUCCUGUGAAGGCAGCUGCUGCUCUUCCUUCUAUUGGGGAAGAUUUUGAGAAGCGAACUCAAUCUGUAGUUUCAAAAUCAAAAUUGAAAUCCGAAAUUCGCUUUAAAGCAGAGGUUGUAUCACCAAUUGAAUGGGAAAGGUGGAUAAGGGAUCAGCAGAAGUCUGAAGGAGUUACUCCGGGUGAGGAUGUCUACAUAAUACUGCGCCUCGAUGGUCGAGUUCGAAGAUCAGGGAAAGUAAGUACAUAUUUUAUCAACUACGCAUCUUUGUGAGGGAAACUUGAAAUGCAUAUCUUUGUUUUUACGUGAUUUGGUUGCUGAAUGAAAGAGCAAAGAACUGAAGCUUGAAAUUCUAGAAUUCAUCAACAGCAUAGAAACCUUGGAUUGAUUCAGGAAUUCAUUUCUUUCUUUAACCAGUUACCCAGCAGCAGCAUUUGAUCUCCAUAUGGAAGCUAGCAAAAGCUAGUAACUGAAUAUAUAUGCCCUCUUAUAGUCAUGUUGCUAGAGUGCUCUGGGUCAGCACGGCAUUUAUUUCACUAAAAACCUUUAACAUUCUUACAAGAGGUUGAAAAAGACUAGGGUUUUAAUAGGAUUAGACAUUUCUAUAUACCACCAUUGUCGAUAACUCAUACAUUACUGCAGGGCAUGCCUGACUGGCAACAAAUUGUGACGGAGCUGCCACCAAUGGAAGCUUUGUUAAGUAAGCUAGAAAAAUAGAAAUUCCUGGCCCUGCAAACACUUCUUGAAAGAUUUUUUUUUCCUCUUGUAAUUAUUGUUAUUAUAUAUUUUUAUACCAUCCAUGGUGAUUGCUCAUCAUGCCAUCUCUGUCAUACAAGUGACUUUUUAUUAGAAAAGCUUAUUCUCUUGGUCCUUGGAGCUGCUCAGUUCAUC
rnacentral:misc_RNA from 1 species